AUCCACCAAGGUAGUGAGUGAUCAGUGUGUGUGUGUGGGUCUCCGGGAGCUUAGCGCUGUGCUGAUGUUGACUGAUUGUAUACUUGCAGGAAAGUCUCUUUGCUCAGACGCCCUCACAUUGAUUAUCAGAGGAAUGUCCAUCGAUCAUCACAGCAACUCAGGCAAAACCAAGGCACACAGGCUCGAGCCCAGACUGGGAUUCCAGCAGCACAACGCCGUUGUCCACCAACACAAUACCAGAGGUCUGCAUCGAAUACCACCCUGGAUUCUAGUGGGUGCAACAGCUGCUUCCAGGUGGUGAAACCCUACCAGGCCGGACACUACAUCAUCCACCCGGAGUUUGUGUCUGAAUGCCUUCGUUAGACUAUUAGGGCAAUGACUUUCACCGUGGGAGGGACAGAAGUCCUUCCAGGGGUCCCCAGGUGGCAAAACUGGGGAUCAUUAACUUCACUAUUGUUUAAUUCUCUCCUAAUUAACCCAGUGAGACAUGGCGUAAGAAUGAUUAAUGCAACUGUUUGCUGCACUGUGUCACCACCAUUAUCGCUCCUCUUACAGCAUGGACACCUUUACACUUCAGGACUGAAUCAGCAGCAAAACUCUUUCCUUAAGGGUCCUGUGGUGGCUAAACGAUAUAUAGCUCAUUAGUCUUCAUCCAAGAGGCAUAAUCUGCCACAUGUGGAAUGGUUAAUGACAAUGGGAAUACAGUUCAUUUCAGCUUUUCCCCUGUGCUAAUAACAGCGUAUACUCCCUAUAGGGCUUGGACAGCAAAAAUGUAGAUGAGUAAUUUAGUCCAUCCCAGCCAGCUUGUGCAGGUGAUAACUCGAAAACAAAAAAUCCUAACAUCUUGAAGCUCAACAAAUUUAGAAGCACACAUACUGAGGAUGAACUGAUUGGGUUUGUGUUGAGCUUUGAUGCACCAGAUCAAUCCUAAAAGCAAUUUAGUGUUAGUUAAUGGAUGGAAUUAAGCUUGAAACAAUGGCAAGAAACAUGAUGCCCAGUAUUUGGGGAAUUUCAAGAUAAAUGGCUGUGG